AGUUAUCAAACAAAGAUUCACCCAUUUUUGACGCUCAGUUGUUAUGUAACAGUCGUUUAAGUAAGUUGAUGGGAGGGUUUUAGUGAAUAUGAACAAAAUCGAGUAUUGCUCCGUUGGUACAGUUUAGGAGUAAUAAAUCCUAGUUUUGGCAACCGUUACUUACUGUAGAUGAAACUUGGAUACACCAUUAUACGCCCCAAACAAAAAUACAUUCCAAACAGUGGACUGCAAAUAUUUUGGUCAAAUGAAGAAGCAAUGAAGAAUUGUUCCUUGUGAACAAUUAUUUUGCAGAGAAAAACGCCGAGUACUAUUUGGAUGGUUUGCAGAUAUGGGAGACUCACUGCGAGAAGUAUGUAAGAUUACAAGGAGACUAUGUUGAAAAAUAUAGUUAAAAAAAUGUAUUUUACCUUUGCUGCGUAGGACACUUUUAAAGCCCACCCUCCUACGUACAAUGUACUAACAUUAAACUGUCAAGUUUUUGAGUUCAUUUUUUUAGUGUUCCUUUAAUUUUAAAGAUGGAGUUGUACUGAUUAAGCAUAAGUAAACUGCAUAGAAUUACAUUUACUCCGUCUCACCUAGGAAUUGUCUUUGAAGUCCAUAUACGAGGAAUGACUGAGACGCAAACCCACGUACAUUGAGUUCCAGAGAAUAAUUUCUUAUUUCAUUCCACAAAAACUUUUUCUGCGGACAAUAAUACAAAAAAUAAUAUUGGAAAAGUUUGAGACAUCUUUGCCAUUUUUUCCCAAUACUAUUUUUCUUCUUGCUUGUUUAAAAGCAGCUAUCAUUUCAACUACAUAUGUGGCGUGAGAAUAAGCCUGUAGAACCGAGGUGAGCGUGGUUUCAUUCUAAAAACGAGAUUCUAAAGUAGGAAUGGGCAACUGGCGGUCUGGGGCCGUACAGCCCUCGUCCUCACUCAGUGCAGCCUACAAAUAAAUCAAUAAUAAUUUAUAAUAAUUAAAAAAAAAAAAAAGAAAACAAAAAUUUGUAGUUAUACUGUUGACCGA
rnacentral:lncRNA from 1 species